rnacentral:rRNA from 1 species
AUUGAACGCUGGCGGCAGGCCUAACACAUGCAAGUCGCGCGGAGCGGCGGACGGGGGAGUAAUGCCUAGGAAUCUGCCUGGUAGUGGGGGAUAACGUCCGGAAACGGGCGCUAAUACCGAAUACUAUCAGAUGAGCCUAGGUCGGAGUAGCUAGUUGGUGGGGUAACGGCCUACCAAGGCGACGAUCCGUAACUGGUCUGAGAGGAGGAUCAGUCACACGGGAACGGGGACACGCCCCAGCUGCGUACGGUAGUCGGCGGUGGGGAAUAUUGGACAAUGGGCGAAAGCUGGAGCAAGCCGUGCCGCGGUGUGGAAGAAGGUCUUCGGAUUGUAAAGCACGUUAAGUUGGGAGGCGUUACCAACAGAAUAAGCACCGGCUAACUUCGUGCCAGCCGCCGCGGUAAUUC